rnacentral:misc_RNA from 1 species
UUUUUUUCACAAGAGGGCGCUAUUAUUCCCGACAAACGUCUUUGGAAUUCAACAUGGCGACUACCGUGGAUGCCUCAGUGAAGAGACGAAGUCUACCUCCACUCCUCACCAGUAAUACUGAUUUAUCAGCUAGCCAAGCACAGCGACCAAAGAGGAAAAAGAAGAAAUUAACAGAAGGAGCAGCAGAGGUCAGUGACUCCCAGCAGUCCUCUGCUAGCAAACAUCGUCCAUUGCCUUCAGAGAUGAAAGAUGACUCACCAGUCAUGGGCAGUCGGGAGAAUCUGGUCCAGAAUGGCCAGAAUGGGGUCAGCUCAUCGGUCAAGAAAACCAGACGGAAGAAGAAGAUGACACAUGGGUAUGACUUUGCGAGUGGGGCUGAUGAUACAGCAAAUGGAGAAAUCUCUGUCAGUACCCCUGCCAUUAACAACUUGAAAGCAUCUCCUGGAUCAUCAAGAAGGAAAAAAGAGCACAGACAGUCCCGGCUCCCACGAUCAGUUAGUGAUGAAGUGUUACGAGACAAUGAGACACCGGGAUCUUCAAGUAAGAAGAAACCUCGCAGACCUCAAUCCAAGCUCUACGCAGAUGAUAGUGCUGAUGAUGAAGAUGAUGUGGGAACAUCCAAAGCCCAUGGGAGACCCCCGCCUCCAAGUAAAGUCAAGAAAAGAAGAAAAUCAAAGCCACCUGCCUCAGUGGAUGAAAAUUACCACGCUGAUGGUGAAGGUAUGUCCUUGGAUAUAAUGGUAGCUGCAGAAGACAUCAUUGCUCCUGAUAAACAAACAGAUGAACAACAACAACAACAACAACCCUCACAUACAGCAGUGUUGCCAAGCCAACCUGUCGGAAAACUCUUCAUGGAGAGAAAAAGUGGUUUCAAGGGAGAAGACAAGGGCAGACUUGCUCGCCAGAGGGAGCGAGAGCUGAACAAUCAACAGCCACAAACAGAAAUUCAAAUUACCACCACACAAGUGGCAUUGACCACCCACCGAGCCUCGUUAACCUUUGCUCUAUUCUGCCACGGUCUCCUUGCUGGCUUUGCCCUGUGGCAGUGUGUCAUGGUGUACAUGUUGCAGCGUCAGGUGCCGUCAUCUAAUACACCUGGCAAGACGCGGUUCCUGGAACAUUACAGUCGACUGGCCCAGCCUGCCUCUGCCAUGUACUACUUCCUAUUCACCGUCUGCACUGUCUCUGUUUUUGAUAGGUUUGAUAUUGGUCGUCCUGACAGACAGUUCUUCCGUGGCCUUAUCACCUUCCAAUCUGGUGCCAUUUCAAUUUUAAUGGUGAUUCUUGUCCAGACAGCGGUUCUUUAUGGGAUAGUGCAGAAGCAGACACACAACUCAAUAUCUGGGUUAUCAUCAAUUUAAUCCGAGCCAUCGGUGCCUGCUUAGGAUGGCUUGUCAUCUCAGUCACACCAACAACAGACUACACCUCAGAACACCUUCACGAUGCAGAGGAACCAUUGUGGGAUGAAACACAAGAUGUAGAGUUGAACAAUGUCCACUCAAAUCUGUGACAGACUGCUGUCUCUUUCUCAUUGCCACAACUCUAUUUUUAAAUGGCUAACCACUGAAAUUACCAAGCAGAUGUUUGUGUAAGCCUUGUAAGUUGCUUUUUUUAUUAGCCAAAGGCUGUCAUACUUACUUUAGUAUAAUAUUAUGAGCAAAGAGUAGAAGGGAUGAGCAUGCUGGUCUUGUCUUUAUAUUUUCAUAAAUAUCACAUUAGGCUUCUGAUGAAAGCUGUGAAAUCUAAGUCCUGAUCACAUUGAAAAAUUGAAUUAAUACAAGAUUAAUAAAACCAAGUGCCCAUCAAGUACUUGAGAAAAUGCCAACAGAAAUUCAUGCAGUAAUAUUUUUGAGCUGAUGCGUGUUGUUUUUACAAGUUUCUGAAAUUCUAGUUUACUGCUUGUUGCUAUGCUUUGCUUGACGUAGAACAGUAUCACUACAUGUAAUAUACAACUUUUUUUGGGGGGGGGUUGAGAAAUAAUGUCGCUGUAUUGUUGGCGUUAGCUAACACUGCGAAUUGAUGAUUAUAUCUUACACUGGCUUACUGAUGACAUUUGCUUGUACAUGUAUUACUGAAUUUCAAUAUGUAAAAAGACCAACAGAACAUAACUCUACUUAGUUUUCCAUUUAAAAUGGCUAACUGUUCAUUUUUUUAUGUUUGAUUAAGUGAUGAGGUCUGCUUCAUAUAUUUAGCUAACCCUAACUCCCUAGGGGGUGUGCAAAAUCAAAGUAAACUUGGAGGAUUCAGGACUGACGGAUCUAUUGAUGACAAUUUCAACAAUGUAUCCAUUGGUCACAAUUUACCCUUUUUGUGUAUACAUGUAUAGAAUCAGUUGAUUUAGUACUAAUUCGGUGCUGUACUUUUUUUAAAAUAAAUACAUGUAACUGUAAAAAGAAUGGACUCUAAAGUAACUUAUUUGUACAAAUUAAGUUUUUGUUUACUUGUUGGUGUGACAGUUUAUUGUGUAAACAAUAAAUACAUUUUGGUAAACAA